AGUGAACGCUGGCGGUAGGCCUAACACAUGCAAGUCGAACGGCAGCACAGUAAGAGCUUGCUCUUACGGGUGGCGAGUGGCGGACGGGUGAGGAAUACAUCGGAAUCUACUUUUUCGUGGGGGAUAACGUAGGGAAACUUACGCUAAUACCGCAUACGACCUACGGGUGAAAGCAGGGGAUCUUCGGACCUUGCGCGAUUGAAUGAGCCGAUGUCGGAUUAGAUAGUUGGCGGGGUAAAGGCCCACCAAGGCGACGAUCCGUAGCUGGUCUGAGAGGAUGAUCAGCCACACUGGAACUGAGACACGGUCCAGACUCCUACGGGAGGCAGCAGUGGGGAAUAUUGGACAAUGGGCGAAAGCCUGAUCCAGCCAUACCGCGUGGGUGAAGAAGGCCUUCGGGUUGUAAAGCCCUUUUGUUGGGAAAGAAAAGCAGCAGGUUAAUACCCCGCUGUUCUGACGGUACCCAAAGAAUAAGCACCGGCUAACUUCGUG
rnacentral:rRNA from 1 species